GAUGAACGCUGGCGGCGUGCCUAAUACAUGCAAGUCGAGCGAACAGACGAGGAGCUUGCUCCUCUGACGUUAGCGGCGGACGGGUGAGUAACACGUGGAUAACCUACCUAUAAGACUGGGAUAACUUCGGGAAACCGGAGCUAAUACCGGAUAAUAUAUUGAACCGCAUGGUUCAAUAGUGAAAGACGGUUUUGCUGUCACUUAUAUAUGGAUCCGCGCCGCAUUAGCUAGUUGGUAAGGUAACGGCUUACCAAGGCGACGAUGCGUAGCCGACCUGAGAGGGUGAUCGGCCACACUGGAACUGAGACACGGUCCAGACUCCUACGGGAGGCAGCAGUAGGGAAUCUUCCGCAAUGGGCGAAAGCCUGACGGAGCAACGCCGCGUGAGUGAUGAAGGUCUUCGGAUCGUAAAACUCUGUUAUUAGGGAAGAACAAAUGUGUAAGUAACUAUGCACGUCUUGACGGUACCUAAUCAGAAAGCCACGGCUAACUACGUG
rnacentral:rRNA from 1 species